GUUGCGAUCCCUCUAAGGAUGAUCAGCGAC
rnacentral:other from 1 species